AGGGCAAGAGUUAUCUGGUUUGUAGAGUGUUUUCCUAGAGAAAUGAGUUCUAGAGUGUGUGGUCUCACCAACCAUCUCGAGGAUGUAUAGUGUUCUCUCCUGAGCAGGAUGUUGGCACGGAGUGUUGCUUUGAGCAGUUACUCUUUACUAUUGAUGAUUGUUCCUUCACUGUUGUGUGGGGGGUUAGAUGAAGAGAACACAGUCUGAGUGGU